GUAUCCCCGUUCUUCAUCGAAGGUAUCCAGUCGUCUCAGCCAUGCAAGCAAAGAUCUUUCUCUUCGCUUUUCUGCUCCUUGUGUGCGCUGUCCUCGCACACGGAAGUAGUUCGCGUUGCAGCGAACCGGCUCUUACCCAUUAUCGUGGAGACGCUUCGGAUCACAAGUGGACUUUUAAGGACGGAGCGUGCACAGAAGAAGGCGUGAGUGGCCAUGGAGAAACCACCACGAACAUGUUUGACAGUGAGGCUCAGUGCACGAGCCUAUGCCUGGGCUAAUGGCACAUCGCCACUAGACCUCGUGCGUCGAGCUCGUCACGUGCAGUCAAGAUGAUUCGACCGCAGAAUUCGAGAAUUCCGAAUAAAGGGGUCUUAAAUACUGAG